rnacentral:rRNA from 1 species
GGAAAAGAAACCAACAGGGAUUGCCCUAGUAACGGCGAGUGAAGCGGCAACAGCUCAAAUUUGAAAUCUGGCUUCGGCCCGAGUUGUAAUUUGCAGAGGAAGCUUUAGGCGCGGCACCUCCUGAGUCCCCUGGAACGGGGCGCCACAGAGGGUGAGAGCCCCGUAUAGUUGGAUGCCUAGCCUGUGUAAAGCUCCUUCGACGAGUCGAGUAGUUUGGGAAUGCUGCUCAAAAUGGGAGGUAAAUUUCUUCUAAAGCUAAAUACCGGCCAGAGACCGAUAGCGCACAAGUAGAGUGAUCGAAAGAUGAAAAGCACUUUGAAAAGAGGGUUAAAUAGCACGUGAAAUUGUUGAAAGGGAAGCGCUUGUGACCAGACUUGCGCCGGGCUGAUCAUCCGGUGUUCUCACCGGUGCACUCUGCCCGGCUCAGGCCAGCAUCGGUUCUCGCGGGGGGAUAAAGGCCCUGGGAACGUAGCUCCUCCGGGAGUGUUAUAGCCCGGGGCGUAAUGCCCUCGCGGGGACCGAGGUUCGCGCUCUGCAAGGAUGCUGGCGUAAUGGUCAUCAGCGACCCGUCUUGAAACACGGACCAAGGAGUCAAGGUUUUGCGCGAGUGUUUGGGUGUAAAACCCGCACGCGUAAUGAAAGUGAACGUAGGUGAGAGCUUCGGCGCAUCAUCGACCGAUCCUGAUGUUCUCGGAUGGAUUUGAGUAGGAGCGUUAAGCCUUGGACCCGAAAGAUGGUGAACUAUGCUUGGAUAGGGUGAAGCCAGAGGAAACUCUGGUGGAGGCUCGCAGCGGUUCUGACGUGCAAAUCGAUCGUCAAAUCUGAGCAUGGGGGCGAAAGACUAAUCGAACCAUCUAGU